GCAUUGGUGGUUCAGUGGUAGAAUGCUCGCCUGCCACGCGGGCGGCCAGGGUUCGAUUCCCGGCUGAUGCA